rnacentral:rRNA from 1 species
CUGUGGUAAUUCCAGAGCUAAUACAUGCAACCUGUAUACCCUGAUGGUGCCGCUUGGGCGCGUUCACGCGCGCUCCUGCGUGUGCCUGACGGGUGCUUUUAUUAGACCAAACACUGCUGGCGGCGAUUAUGCCUGCUAGGCUCGUAAUAUGGUGACUCUGGAUAACCUUGUGACAAGCGCACGUACUUCGUUCACGGAGACGGCGCUGCCCCUUUCGAGUGACUGCCUUAUCAGCUAUCAACCGUUCGUUAUGUGCGACCGAUGGCUUUGACGGGUAACGGGGAAUCAGGGUUCGAUUCCGGAGAGGCAGCCUGAGAAACGGCUACCACGUCCAAGGACGGCAGCAGGCACGCAAAUUACCCAAUCCCAGCACAUGGGGGAGGUAGUGACGAAAUCUAACGAUGCGGGCGCCCAUUCUGGGCCUCGCAAUCGGAAUGAGCAUUUUCUAAACAACCUGUUGAGAACCUACUGAAGGGCAAGUCUGGUGCCAGCAGCCGCGGUAAUUCCAGCUUCAGCAGCAUAUAUUAAAGUUGCUGCGGUUAAAAGGCUCGCAGUUGAAUGUCAGUGUUGGGCGAUGGUAAGGUGGACGCUGGAGCAUGGGAAUUAAGCGCGCUCGUGAGCAGCUCGGUGGUUUCUGCGUGGUGUGUAGCGCUCUGAUGCGCGAAGCCCACGUGGUUCCUUCGUCUCUCGCGGGCGUCUCUCACAAGCUCCCGUCUGUUACAAGCCUCCUCGCUCCAGUACAUUGGUGGUUACUCCUCUCCUCGGAUUGCGUGCGUCUCUCCCAGCCUUGCGAAAGCCGUCUGUCUCGCUGGGUGCCUCGUGGCCUUCUAGGCGUGCGGGAGCACUUGGUGGCUUUCGGUCUAGCCUGGCGCUUAACGGAGGGGCGUCUUCGUGCCGAGGAGUGGUGCGUGGUCUUGCGCGUGGGCCAGAGUGCGUGUCUGAGGCGUUUGGUGUGAGUGCUUGUGCUCGUGCGCAGGGAUGACCUCUCUGCCGCGGCCUGGCGCGAGCGCUGGCGCUCUCUCUCGCAUUUCUCCUGCGUUGCGCGCGCACCUCUCUGUGUGUGUUGCUGCACUGUCACCUUGAGUAAAUCGGAGUGCUCAAAGCAGUCGUAAAGGGCUUCGGCCCUGUGAUAAGUCUUGACGGACUGUCUUGAUUUUGCAUGGUAUGUCGGAAAACGACGUCGAGUGCUGGCUCAGAGUCUAUAAAAGUGGUUUCAAGCCAAAGCCUCGACGUAAUGAUUAAAAGGAACGGUCGAGGGCAUUGGUAUUGCGAGGCGAGAGGUGAAAUUCUAUGACCCCCGCAAGACCGCCUGAAGCGAAAGCGUCUGCCAAGGACGUUUUCAUUAAUCAUGAACGAAAGUUAGAGGAUCGAAGGCGAUCAGAUACCGCCCUAGUUCUGACCCUAAACGAUGCCAACCAUCAAUCCGCGUGAGCACCCUUUUUGACGGGCUCGGCGGGCAGCUCUCUUAUCACGGGAAACCAGAGUCUCUGGGUUCCGGGGGGAGUCUGGUUGCAAAGCUGAAACUUAAAGGAAUUGACGGAAAGGCACCACCAGGAGUGGAGCCUGCGGCUUAAUUUGACUCAACACGGGCCAUCUCACCAGGCCAGAACUCUAGCACGAUUGACAGAUUGAGAGCUCUUUCUCGAUUGAGUGGAUGGUGGUGCAUGGCCGUUCUUAGUUGGUGGAGUGAUCUGUCUGGUUAAUUCCGAUAACGAACGAGACUCUCCCCUGCUAACUAGUCGGUUGGAUCUUGUAUUUCGAUGCGAGUCGUGCGCCGGGCUUUCCUUCGCCUCGCGGCAGCGGUGCGAGAUUGUGUGUUUCCUGUCCUGCGCUGGCUGUGCGUGUGCUCGUGGGCGUGGAGGUUGCGAAAGCGUCUCCAUUGCUUGUGGGUGUACGUGCUUCGGCGUGUGGGUGGGCUCGCUCUCUCUGCCGUUCUCGUUGCUUGGUGUAUCUGGUUUUCCCGGGUCGUACACUCCAAGUCCGCCGCUUAUGCUAUAAAACUCUUCUUAGAGGGAUCAACGGCUCUGAAGCCGUACGAGACUGAGAGCAAUAACAGGUCUGUGAUGCCCUUAGAUGUUCUGGGCCGCACGCGCGCUACAAUGCCGGGCACAGCAGGUGUUUUCCCUACUCCGAAAGGAGCGGGCAACCCUCUGAAAGCCCCUUCUCAUCAAAUGUAUCGGCCGGCGAGCAAUCGUCGGUCGUGUGUAUUGGCGUGCUUGGGCCUGGGGCUUGCAAUUCUUUCCCACAAACGAGGAAUGCCUAGUAGCGGCGG